rnacentral:lncRNA from 1 species
AUUCUCAGGGGCUCCCGAGUGUGGGGAGGGCGGCUCAGCAGGAGCUGCUGCUUCCCAGAAAGUUGAUUAUUUUUAACCCAGGAAGAAGAAAGGAAGGAGGCGAGGGAGAAGGACUCAGAGAAAAGAGGAGAGGAAAAGAGAGGAGAGGAGAGGAAAGAAAAGCAAGGUCUCGCUGUGUUACCCUGGCUGGAGUGCAGUGGCUACUUACAGGCAUGAUCAUAGCAUACUGCAGCCUCGAACUCCUGGACUAGAGCAGUUCUCCUGCCUCAGCCUCCAGAGCAGCUGGGACUGCAGACACGCACCACAGAGCCCAGCCUGAGUCAUUUUGAUUCUGUAACUGGCUUCCUCUCGGCGGGCAGGCUCACACCCUCCACCCCCAGCUGGAGAUGGAAGGAGGAUGCUCACCGCCCAUUCCUCAUGCAGGCCAUCGAUGGAAAUGUCAGACAGUGCGAGUCCACGCCUGAACACUUCUGGGGUCCGCUCUGGGACUGACACUGGCAGAUCCAUCGGUGAGCUCCCGCCUGCCACCUCUGGGCCUGCAUUGCGGUGAUAGGGCCAAGGGCCUGGGCCUUCAAUUCUCCAGACUUGCCAAAAUGCUCAGCGCAGGCCUCGUCGGCAACUGCAGACAAGCAGAGGCAGCACCUGGGCUCUGCCUGUGCCUGGCACAGUGAAGCGAGGGUGGGGGCAGGAAUGAGGGUCCUCUCCAUGCAAGGGGGGAAGAUAGAAGAACAAAAUUUCACCCUAAUGUAGUGUCUUUAGACCGUGCAAUGUUGUGCUCCUGUUAGUCUGAUAUCAGGGGCUUGCAGCCUGGCAAAGGAAAAAAAACAGGCUGAGGCACAUGAUAGAAGACAGGCAGGGAUGCCACAAUCAUAACCAUGGCAAAGACCAGGAUCAGAAAGGCCCACCAUCUCUGACCCCAAAUCCCUGGGCAGAUGGUUCCAGAACUCAGAAUUUUCCCAGUUGUAGAAAGAUGGGGCCAGGUGCAGUGGCUCACGCCUGUAAUCCCAGCAUUUUGGGAGUACAAGGUGGGCGGAUCACCUGAGGUCAGGAGUUCGAGACCAGCCUGGCCAACAUGGUGAAACCCUGUCUCUACUAAAAAAAAAAAAAAAAA